CCAGUCCGGCGCCGGAUCGCGGUUGCCCAGCGCGCUGUGCCCUGCCGGGGGCGGGCCACGUUUGAUCUCCGGGCCCGCAGCAAGGGAUCGCGAAGGUAUUGAUCUAGGCGCUGCUGUGAAGGGAAUUUGCAGAUGUAAUUGGCCUAAAUCAGUUGGCUUUAAUAUCAGGAAAUUGUCCUCAGUGGGCAUGGCCAUAUGGAGCCCUUACAAGGGACUGGGCUCUUCCUGGUGAAAAAGAUUUGAAUCACGAGAGUGGCUGAUAUGAGGGAAAUUCUUUGCUGUUGCCUUCGAAGACAGAAGAGGUCCACAAGGCAAAGGAUGCAGACAGCCUGUAGGAGCUGAGACUGGCUCCUGGCUGACAGCCAGCAAGGAAAUGAGGACCUCAGUCCUCCAAUCAUGAAGCAGACUCCGACUUCUGCUAACAACCUGAAUACACUUCAAAGAGGAUUCUGAGCUCCAGCCGCCUACACAUUGAUUUCAGCUGUUGGGACCCUCAGCCGAGAACCCAGCUAUGCCGUGCCCAGAUGUAAGACCUACACAUCUGUGAGCUUUCUAGUUAACAAGAUGGAGGAAGAGAUAAAGAAGGACAUUCCCCAAAGUCUCACAGAACUCUUCUGCUCACAUCUCAUUGGCUAACAUGAGUCACAUGGUGAACCUGGAUGCAGGGAGGCUGAAGAAGACAGUCAUCUUGCUGGGCAGAAGGAAAGGAAGGAGGACCUAUGAACAGUGGUGGGUUCCAUGUCAGGGGCUUGCCAGCCACAAGGAAAGGUCAGAAAUUCCCAGAAUUUCAGUUCUGAAAUCUGUAUGUUGACCCAGACUCUUGGGAAUUUUACCUGGAUAUUUUCAGAUUCUUAAACAUAAUUUUUAAUGUCAUUUGAAUGGAUGCAGAGGAGAGCUGUAUAAGUAAUUGAGUAUGAACUUUAAAAAUACAUUAGGAUUCAAAACUGCAUGCUACAAAAUCACCAUCUUUUUAACCUUUUCAAAAAGGUGUAACAUAUGUACAGAAAAGUGCUCAAAUCAUAACAUACAGCUCUCCAUAAAUUAUCACAGAGUGAAGACACCCAUGUCAUUACCACUAAGAAAAAAAGAGAGAAACCAUCACACCCCAGAACCCACCCUGUGCUCCUCCCAGCCUCAUGUGCCCAUCCGGAAUGUUUUCCUUUUCUCUGCUUUUCUCCUCAAGUCUGUCUUAGCCCCCUCUUCUCUUCUGGCCACCUCACUUCCCAGGCCUCCCCGAUACCCCGGGCAGUGGGGGGCUUUUUUGAGGCUGGUUUGCCUUUUGGCACAGUGGAAAUAGCAUGUGCUCUGGAGCCAGCUCUCCAAGAUCUAGAUCUCAGCCCACCUACUCACUAGCUUUGUGAAUCCAAGCAAGAGACCUAAUCCCUCUCAGCUCCCCAGGCACUAUCCUGGGGUCACAGGUGCUGAUUGGGUACUUCCCAGAGUGGCUACCGAGUGCCUGCUGCUCAGCAUGGGGCUCAAAUACACCCACUGCAUUUUCAUUUCUAUGCUUUUGCUUGGGUCUCUGAAAGCUCCCGAGGGAUGUUCAUUGUUUCCAUUUCACAGAUUGCCACAAUGAUGCCUGCAGAGGUGAAAUGACUUGCCCAGCAUCACACAGUGGGGCAAGGGCAGAGUGAAGCCUGGACCCUAGGCUCUGAGGCCACAGCAGCACAGGACCCGGAGCUGUGCCCUCCGGCCCCAGACCUGCCAUGGUCCUGUGGCUGUUUAGACGACUGUUUGGCCCAGGGGUGCCUGGCUCUCUAAAAGAUUCACUGUUGCCCUCACCAAUAUUUAUUUCAGCCUUCCCAGAAUGUUUCCUAA
ensembl:lncRNA ST8SIA5-DT ST8SIA5 divergent transcript